UCUUUUUAAGUGAAGUUCAUUUUCUUCAUGGAAUAAGAUAGUGUAGUUCAGCAAAUAUUGAGUACCUGCCACAUGACAAACUGUAUGUUCUUUAAGAACCGUAUGAAAUUGCUGAUAUUUAACUGUUGUUUACUUAUACAAACUGCAACUUAGUGUGAUUCAAUCUUAUACUUUAUGUUAUUUAAUUCUUACAAUAAUCCCAUUUUUAGAUAGAUGUUUUCAUGGCUUAGAAAACAUUUCUGACCAAGAAUAGUUUCUAUACUUGUGGAGACACUCAUAGCCAAAAACUUGGAUGGUCUAGGUUCCCUCAGCCCCCCGAAAUAAACCUUAGUCUGUUUAAGAUGUGUAAAGAAUAUGCUCUAAGAUGACCCCUGAUGACUCCUGUGCCUCUUGAUGUUUAUGACGUUUUGUAAUGCCUUCCCCUUGAGUAAAUUUCUUCUAAUCAUCA
rnacentral:lncRNA from 10 species